rnacentral:rRNA from 1 species
UGCGUAGGUGGCGCCGUAAGUCAGGUGUGAAAUUUCGGAGCUUAACUCCGAAACUGCAUUUGAUACUGCGGUGCUUGAGGACUGGAGAGGAGACUGGAAUUCACGGUGUAGCAGUGAAAUGCGUAGAUAUCGUGAGGAAGACCAGUGGCGAAGGCGGGUCUCUGGACAGUUCCUGACACUGAGGCUCGAAGGCCAGGGAGCAAACG